GGCACAGUGGCUUAGUGGUUAGCACGUUCGCCUCACAGGUCUGGGGUUCGAUUCCCGCCGGGGCCA